AUGGCUGGUUUUACGGAUGGCGUAAAGCAGGCUGUUUCAAUUGUCCGCUGGAUCUGGAAGGGAACUACCCGAAGUGUGAAUGCCCAGACGAUGAAGUUUUUGAUGGCGAAGAAUGCCGAAGAUGUCCCUGGAAUGGAUUUGGGGUAUAUCCCAAUUGUACAUGUGAAACGGGCACUUUUAAUGAGAUAAAUGAGUGUCGUGCAUGUCCUUUUGAUAGCACGGGAAUUUACCCGAAUUGCGUCUGCGAUCAUCCCUUAACCUUUCGGAAAGAUUGGAAUCGGUGUAUGCGAUGCCCUGGAGAUUCGAUCGGAAUUUACCCAAAUUGCACUUGUAUCGGCGAAAAGGCUGGCUUUGAACCAAAAUACGCCAGAUGCUAUGAAUGUCCCGAUGAAUCCACCGGACGACACCCAAAUUGCACGUGUGAAAAAGAAGGAUACGCCUAUGAAACCUACUUGAGAUAUUGCGGUAAACUCUGUGAAGACGGAGUCUCUAUUUAUCCGAAUUGUAAAUGUGAGACGUUUUACAAACAUUUUUUGAAUAAAACUACGCUCAAAUGUAUGCCGUUCGCUUACGAUGACCGACCAUGUCCACCAAAUGCUUUUGGGACGAGUCCGAAUUGUCAUUGUUUGCAAGAUUAUCACUUCUUUAUUCCAUACGGCUGGGGAUGUUUCAAAGAGUAUUCCAUGGAAAAGGCUACGAUUUCAUGCAAAGAUCCCAAAUGCAGUCAAUUUAUAACCACAAAUGGAGUGGAACAAAACGCUUUUCUUCAAAUAUUUUGGUGAAAUAUUAGAUGAUCGUCGAUCAACGACCCAAAAUCACGAUUUUGGGACAAAAAUAUGACAAUUUAAAUUCAAAUGCAUCAGCUACUGAUUAUUGAAUUCUUCAAUUUAUUUUAAGCUUAAUCGAGUUAUUUUGAAUUUAAAAUA